UACAGAGGUGGCAAGCGUUGUUCGGAAUUACUGGGGCGUAAAGGGCGAGUAGGUGGCCAUCUAAGUCAGACGUGAAAUCCCCCGGCUUAACCUGGGGAACUGCGUCUGAUACUGGACGGCUUGAGUAUGGGAGAGGAACGUAGAAUUCCAGGUGUAGCGGUGAAAUGCGUAGAUAUCUGGAGGAAUACCGGUGGCGAAGGCGGCGUUCUGGACCUUACUGACACUGAAUCGCGAAAGCUAGGGGAGCAAACGGG
rnacentral:rRNA from 1 species